rnacentral:rRNA from 1 species
AUGAACGCUAGCGACAGGCCUAACACAUGCAAGUCAGGGGCAGCACAAGGAGCAAUCUGAGGUGGCGACCGGCGCACGGGUGAGUAACACGUAUGCAACCUGCCUGUAAGCGGGGAAUAACCCGUUGAAAGACGGACUGAUACCGCAUAAUACUAAAUUACUGCAUGGUAAUUUAUUUAAACAUUUAUGGCUUACAGAUGGGCAUGCGCAUGAUUAGCUAGUUGGAGAGGUAACGGCUCCCCAAGGCAACGAUCAUUAGGGGUUCUGAGAGGAAGGUCCCCACACUGGUACUGAGACACGGACCAGACUCCUACGGGAGGCAGCAGUGAGGAAUAUUGGUCAAUGGACGAGAGUCUGAACCAGCCAAGUCGCGUGCAGGAAGAAUGUCCUUAAUGGAUUGUAAACUGCUUUUGCAGGGGAAUAAAGUGCAUCACGUGUGAUGCUUUGUAUGUACUCUGCGAAUAAGGAUCGGCUAACUCCGUGCCAGCAGCCGC